AGCUCAAUGGUAGAGCACAUGCCUAGCAUGCUCAAGCCUGGGUUCAAUUCCCAG
rnacentral:tRNA from 1 species